rnacentral:lncRNA from 1 species
GGCGUCCUCUGAAAUUUCUUUGAAAUAUCAAAGGGUUUAGAUUAAUGGUUAUAAAGCCCGUUAAACCCUUAAAGCCAAACGGGAAUCGUCUCCGAAACCUAUAACACGAGAGGAAUUAUUAAGAGCCCCCACUUAAGACCCUCUCUUCUAGAAGAAGCCACCAUCUUCAGCUGCAACUCCCCCGUCAAGGGCGAUAGAGAACCCCUUUACCUCAAAUACCCAAAUACACCAAAACUACUAGGCUUCCAACCUAUGAUUCAACAGAAAAGGAUAAAGCACCUGAGAGCACAAACGCCAAAAGCUUUUAGCAAUAAAAGGACAAGCACAAAAUACCUUUAGAAAUCGAUCAGCCUUCAAGCUUCUAGCUUUGAUGAUAGAAGAUCAUGAAAAGAAUAGAAAAAAUCUCGGUUUCCCACUCCAACGAUCUCCAUUAAAGAACUUAACAGCUCUUCCUCUUCAUCACCCCACAUCUAUCAAAUGACAGACACCUGCGGAACAACGGUAGACUUGGGAGGCGAACACCGCUGCACUAUUUGGCCUAUCAAAGGCAUUAACAAUGAAACCUUGGAUCGAAGAGCAAAAUAAUACCAACAACCAACACAAACAAAGAAUAAAUAACUAAAUAGUAGAUAACUAAAUUUUUGUUAAUGGAUGAUUGAGCAUAUAUACAAAUGUAAAGCAAACAAAGCCGCAGGGUGGGCUUCCGAUGGUUAUAGUCACUCUUAAAAAUCCAUAAUCUUUA